rnacentral:rRNA from 1 species
UAGCAAGGUUAACCGUAUAGGGGAGCCGGAGGGAAACCGAGUCUUAAUUGGGCGUUAAGUUGCAGGGUAUAGACCCGAAACCCGGUGAUCUAGCCAUGGGCAGGUUGAAGGUUGGGUAACACUAACUGGAGGACCGAACCGACUAAUGUUGAAAAAUUAGCGGAUGACCUGUGGCUGGGGGUGAAAGGCCAAUCAAACCGGGAGAUAGCUGGUUCUCCCCGAAAGCUAUUUAGGUAGCGCCUCGUGAAUUCAUCUCCGGGGGUAGAGCACUGUUUCGGCUAGGGGGCCAUCCCGGCUUACCAACCCGAUGCAAACUGCGAAUACCGGAGAAUGUUAUCACGGGAGACACACGGCGGGUGCUAACGUCCGUCGUGAAGAGGGAAACAACCCAGACCGCCAGCUAAGGUCCCAAAGUCAUGGUUAAGUGGGAAACGAUGUGGGAAGGCCCAGACAGCCAGGAUGUUGGCUUAGAAGCAGCCAUCAUUUAAAGAAAGCGUAAUAGCUCACUGGUCGAGUCGGCCUGCGCGGAAGAUGUAACGGGGCUAAACCAUGCACCGAAGCUGCGGCAGCGAACGUAUCACCCAAGACAACUUUACGGAGUUGACGAUUGACGGAGCGAAGCGACGUCAAAGCGUUCAUUAAAGUCGAGUUGGCUUAGGGAUACGUUCGUUGGGUAGGGGAGCGUUCUGUAAGCCUGUGAAGGUGUGUCGUGAGGCAUGCUGGAGGUAUCAGAAGUGCGAAUGCUGACAUAAGUAACGAUAAAGCGGGUGAAAAGCCCGCUCGCCGGAAGACCAAGGGUUCCUGUCCAACGUUAAUCGGGGCAGGGUGAGUCGACCCCUAAGGCGAGGCCGAAAGGCGUAGUCGAUGGGAAACGGGUUAAUAUUCCCGUACUUGGUGUUACUGCGAAGGGGGGACGGAGAAGGCUAUGUUGGCCGGGCGACGGUUGUCCCGGUUUAAGCGUGUAGGUGUGUGUUCCAGGUAAAUCCGGUUCACUUUAACACUGAGGCGUGACGACGAGGCACUACGGUGCUGAAGCAACAAAUGCCCUGCUUCCAGGAAAAGCCUCUAAGCAUCAGGUAACACGAAAUCGUACCCCAAACCGACACAGGUGGUCAGGUAGAGAAUACCAAGGCGCUUGAGAGAACUCGGGUGAAGGAACUAGGCAAAAUGGUGCCGUAACUUCGGGAGAAGGCACGCUGACACGUAGGUGAAGUGAUUUACUCAUGGAGCUGAAGUCAGUCGAAGAUACCAGCUGGCUGCAACUGUUUAUUAAAAACACAGCACUGUGCAAACACGAAAGUGGACGUAUACGGUGUGACGCCUGCCCGGUGCCGGAAGGUUAAUUGAUGGGGUCAGCG